rnacentral:rRNA from 1 species
UACGGAGGGUGCAAGCGUUAUCCGGAUUCACUGGGUUUAAAGGGUGCGUAGGCGGAUAGGUAAGUCCGUGGUGAAAUCCUGCAGCUUAACUGCAGAACUGCCAUGGAUACUCUCUAUCUUGAAUGUCGUGGAGGUUAGCGGAAUAUGUCAUGUAGCGGUGAAAUGCUUAGAUAUGACAUAGAACACCCAUUGCGAAGGCAGCUAACUACGCGAUAAUUGACGCUGAUGCACGAAAAGCGUGGGGGAUCAAACAGG